AUUGAACGCUUGCGGCACGCUUAACACAUGCAAGUCGAACGAGCGUCGGACGGGUGAGUAAUGUCUUGGAAACUGCCCGAUGGAGGGGGAUAACUACUGGAAACAGUAGCUAAUACCGCAUACCAUCGGAUGUUCCCUGAUGGGAUUAGCUGGUGGGUGGGGUAAAGGCUCACCAAGGCGACGAUACCUAGCUGGUCUGAGAGGAUGACCAACCCCACUGGAACGGAGACACGGUCCAGACUCCGACAAGAUCCAUCGUGGUCAAAUGUAGCACAGUGGGCGCAACCCUGAUCCAGCCAUGCCGCGUGUAUGAAGAAGUCCUUCGGGUUAUAAAGUACUUUCAGCGAGGAGGCGGUAACCGCAGAAGAAGCACCGGCUAACUCCGUACCAGCAGCCGCGGUAAUUC
rnacentral:rRNA from 1 species